GCCGGAUCAGGCCAAGAGCAGCGCACUGCUAAUUUACCGGCAUUAGCGUCCUUUUACUGGCUAUAGUAAAGGCAAAGCUAACUCAAAUAAUUAAAACGACAUUUAGCUCGAAAGGCAGGAGCUAACUGGGCGAAGGAAGGAUGGGAAGGAGGCAAGGAAGGAAGGAAAGAAAACAAGGAAAGGAAGGAAAGGAAGCCAGCCUUCAUGUGUCGCGCAGCCCGAAGACGACAGGCUGCGGCGGGAAUGCUACCCCGGAGCGGGUUAAUUUGUUUUCUUCGGGUUUUCGUUGGAACAACAAAUGCAUUGGAGAAAACACCAGUUUACACCCAACUACUAAGUGCAAUGGCUAAAACACAGCAGGAGGCAAGGCACUGUCUAAUUAAAAGUAUGAUAGAUUUA